rnacentral:misc_RNA from 1 species
UGACCCACAACGGGGGGUUGA